rnacentral:rRNA from 1 species
UACGGGGGGGGGCAAGCGUUGUUCGGAAUUACUGGGCGUAAAGGGCUCGUAGGUGGCCAACUAAGUCGGACGUGAAAUCCCUCGGCUUAACCGGGGAACUGCGUCUGAUACUGGAUGGCUUGAGUUCGGGAGAGGGAUGCGGAAUUCCAGGUGUAGCGGUGAAAUGCGCAGAUAUCAGGAGGAACACCGGUGGCGAAGGCGGGUCUCUGGGCCGAUACUGACGCUGAGGAGCGAAAGCGUGGGGAGCGAACAGG